rnacentral:pre_miRNA from 1 species
GCCGGGAAGUGGAAGAAAAGAGGGCAUAAGAGCAGUGGGAGUGAGAACACGAAGGAAAGCCUAACUUGCUUUGUUUUCACCUCUAGUGUUGGAGGUGAGAACUUGAUUUGGUGUUUCCCAGUGCCUCCCAUUCUUACAGUUCUCAGGCACUCCUUCCACUUCCUUUUUUGG